CUCCAAGAGACCCACAUUCAAUUAUUGAUUCAUAGGAUCUAAGAGAGACUCAUACUGAUCUGAUCAGACCCGACCGGACCGACACCCUCACUAAGUGAAACCGGACAAUUGUUCCGUACGGCAGUGAGGUUAUAUGGCGGAAAAUCGGUCGAAAGCCAUUGCGAUACAUUGAAGUAUUGAUACAUGGAAUCAGCGUGAACUAUGGAAGUCGUGAACUCCACGUACUCAACAUACCAGAUAGGCUUGUGGCCGGAGUUAUCAGAAGUCAGAGAUAAAAAAUAAAAGCCAAAACAAAACUGGAUGGGAAAGCAGCAGUCGCACAUUGAAAAGAGGACCACCCCAUUUUACCGUAUCUCCAAAGAACUAGAGUUCUCAUCAUUGUUGACACAAUCAUCAUCUCGAAGCUAGCCUUAAAACCUCAAGAAUGAGAUACCUACAACUUCUCCAAAAACAAUCAGCAUUUCCAAAUCUGUAAUGGACUAACUAGCAACCAUCCUUUGAUAAAAUAUCUGUCCUUUCAUUUCGCUCUCUAUAAACAUGACCCAAAGAGCAAGAGGGUGCUUGGUCACCCAGUGACGAAUAUUAUAUAAAAUAUUAUCAAUAUCGAGAUUUUCUUCUCUUCGAUUAACCAUCAUAACUAACUCCUUACUGUCACUUUCAAACCAUCCGUAUCUGCACCCUUGAGCCCAAACAAAUUUUAGUACAUCAAGAAAUUCACAUGCUUAUGCUUGUAUUGGUGAGAACUGACUUCAAUUUUUCAUUUUAACUAAUGUUAUUGUUGGGACUUUUACAAAAGGAUGUUUUACUUGUCUUAAAAACUGGAUUUUCUGCCAUUUAAGAGUAUUGUCAUUUAUUCUAUUUUACCUUUAUCAUUUUAAUUAUUUCAAAGAGAAAAUGUAAGUAGAAAAAUUAAUAAAAAUAAGGAUCGAGUUGUAAUUCCAAUUAGAAUAUCAUAGGGAGUAAAAUUUUAUUCGAUUGGAUAGUUUACAUUAUUGCCAUCACACACGUUCACAGUUCACAAAAACAUAGAACAAUUCUCCAAGAGACCCACCUUCAAUUAUUGAUUCAUACGAUCUAAGAGAGAUUCAUACUGAUCUGAUCAGAUCCGACCGGACCGACACCCUCACUAAGUGAAACCGGACAAUUUUUCCGUACGGCAGUGAGGUUAUACGGCGGAAAAUCGGUCGAAAGCCAUUGCGACACAUUGAAGUAUUGAUACGUGGAAUCAGCGCGAACUUUGGAAGUCGUGAACUCCACGUACUCAACAUACCAGGCGGGCUUGUGGCCGGAGUUAUCAGAGGUCAGAGACAACGAACAUACUGGGCUUGGAAGACACCUCUCCUUACCAC
rnacentral:lncRNA from 1 species